rnacentral:lncRNA from 1 species
UCUUUAAAAUGUAAGUUCCCUCAUGAGUACACUUUUGGGAGCAAUGGCUAGUUUACUAUCUCAAUUAUGGGGAUGGUUUCAUGGGUAUUUUUGAAUAUCAAAACUUUUCAAAUGGUAUACUUGAUGUGCAAUUCAUUGUGUGUUGAUUAUACUUUAAUAGAGCUGUUUUUAAAAUAGCAAUUAUGUGAUGCAAUUAAAAUAUUUGUAAUAUUAUCUACAGCGACUCUAUAGUGACUUUGUCUUAUGUGAUUCCAUUACAUUGUUCAAGUAUGAUAUUCAAAAUUCAUGGUCAUUUUUGAGUGUAUUUCUUUGAAAAUUUUGCUUUGCCUCAGAACAAAAAAAAAGUCUCUAAAUUAAAACUAAGAGUUACAAUGACUCAAGAAAUGUUUUAUAAUCUGGCAUUGCUGAAAAUAUAACACAAAAUUUGCAAAGAUGCUGUUUAUAACAAUGUAGUGAUUUUUGUUAAAAUAAGCCUCCAGUAUUCUACAUGAAUAUUGCCAACUCCAAAAUACCUCCCUAACCACCCAGAACUCAACAGAAUACUAUUCCUGUAUGGAAACAUGGAGUUAGAGCUUUAUUUCCACUCAUUCUUGCCUUCUGGGUGGGCAUCAAUGGGCCCCAUCUCGACACAGUGCCUCUUGCAGAGUUGGGACUCUAAAGGCAUUUGUUUGUGAAACACUGGGAGGGCCUGGAUAUCCUCCCUCUGGACUCUGGAACCUCAGGAGAGGGGUACCUGACCAGAAAACCUCAGAAUUCUAUCCAUGAAGACCAAAUACAUGGCACUCUUUCACUUUCAUAGUUUUUCCUUCCCAAAUAGAAGUCCCUCCAACCUCUGGUGGCAGCAGCUCUGGGUAAAGGUCAACUUUUAGGAGGAAUGGGCCUCUCAAAGAAUAGGCCCAAACCCACAGAAGCAUCACAGGUCACUUGGGUUUCGGCUGUUCGAGCAAGGUUAGUUACAAUUGGGCAACUAUUUCAAUGUUUAUUCUUAGAAAUUCCCAGGGCUUGAAGUGCUGACAAAAUUGGCCCACACCAGGGAUCACCCAGGGUGCUCAGACAUGGCUAGUCUGCAAGCUCCUCAAGGACAAGUGUGACCUUAAUCUAGCACUGUACUGUCAGUGCCCAGCACAGAGCAGGUGCCCAAAAACCACACUGUGGGGAAAUCGGUGAAUUCUAUUGUGUGAGAAUUUGCUCUGUGUGCCUGGUAAAGAUACGUUGUCUUCAUUUGUUUUUACAAUUACCCUUUGAAACAGGUGUUCAUCAUUUUACAAAGCAGGGAAUGGUGGCACAGACAGGUGAAGUAAUUUGCCUGAGUCAUUAAGAGGUUGGUUUUCUCCAAGAAGUCAUCUUUCAAGAUUUUGUCUACGGCCAUACCACCCUGAACGCGCCCAAUCUCGUCUCAUCUUUCAAGAUUUUGAAAUAAUAGCCUGGAUGACCACUGCUGUUUUGGAGGCCAAUUAAUUAUAUUCUCUUAUUGGAGGAGCCCUGUGUUCUCCCCUCAGAGCAUGAUCCCCACUGUCCCUGGUCUCUCUGCUGUCCAGGUACUGUCCUCUCUGCUCUUUCUUGCCACUCUGGCACUGCAUGGUCUCAGUCCCUCUCCAUUCUCCAGGCUCUCCUCUUGCCUCUCUGUUAGCUGUUCUUCCUCUGCCCACUUGCUCUAAGGGCAGGUGUUCCCCAAGGCUUCUCCCUGACACUCUUUCUCCUUCUACCCCCUCUCUCUGGGACAUUCUCUCAUACUUGUUAUGACCAGCUCAGACCUCUCCAGGAGACAACCACCUAGGCCCUGAUGAUUGUUGCUAGUUAGUCCCUCCCUGAGAAUGUAGCUUCUGCUCUCAGACAUUCACUAGCUCCCCAAGGUCAACAAAAGGGGAACAAACUUCUCCCCAAGGUAUUCAGGGCUCUGGUAUACCUGCCUUCAUUUUCCUCCCAAUUCAGAAUCUUCCUCUAUCUGAGCCCUGUGCUCUUUGCCUUUAUUCUGCUGUCCCUUCAAUAUGGCUUCCCUCCCUGCGACCUUUGCUCAAGGUACUUCUACCUUACUGGUCUAUAACGUACAUGCUCCUCCUCCAAGAAGUCCUUCCUGACACCCUUCCCUACCUAGUGUGCCUUCUCUUUCUUUGGGGGACUCCAUGGAAAACCAUGCCAGCAUUCCUUGGGUGACACCUACUUCUGUGCUUGCUUUGAUUCUAUCACCCUGAGUCAGAAAGGAAGCCUAGCACUGGGAGUCAGGCAACAAGGCUCAUUCUAUGCUGUUUAGUGUUACCUAUUCAUCUAAGAGUUCCCCAGUGUAAAAAUGAAGUGAUAGGACCGCAUCAGCAUUUCUCAAAUUUCAUUUGAGUACCACCAUGCUUGCUUUUAUUCUUGAACCACAAGUAUCAUAUGCUUAUUUAUCUUUUUAAAAUCUAAAUUAAAAGUAUACUUUAUAUUGUUUACUGUGACUGCAAAACAAAGGUCAUAUGUAAUAAAGGUUACAGUAAAAAAAAACUAAGGUAACCACGAAAAUAAACACAUAACGGAUAAA